UUUGCUGUAGCACGGUCCCUUUGCCAAGAGAAAUGGCUCCGCUGGAGAGAGAAGUGAAGCCACACCUGCUGCAAGUGGCAGCGAGAAAAGGAGCUCAGAGGGCUGGGGGAGAGGGACCGAGAGAAAUCCUCUUCGCGGCCCCUUGCCUGGAGAUGAGCCGGUCACUGCUGGCGCAGGAGGGGAGCACAGCUCUCUGCUCCCCUCGUGAGCAGCCACCUUGCAGCGGAGAAGCGAGGUUUGUCCCACUGCAUAUUCAGCCUGUGGCCAGCAAGGUCCAGCGGAGCGGUCGGAUGCGGCGUGCCUGAAGCUGAGCUUUCCCCCUUGGGUGCUGCAAUCCGGCUUUCGGCUCCAGCUAACUUCCAGGACUUGAGAGGGAUAUUUCCACCAGACCUCCCACGAAGAAGAAGAUACUGUCCCUUCCCUAACUUAGCCAGUCGUAAGGCAAAUGUCUUCAGACUGCCUCCAAGGCAAAGGCAAAACAUCUCCAUGCGCUGCCAGGGGUAAUGAGGACUAUUGGGUGAACCUAGUUUUACAUCAGAAGAUCAGGGCCAUCUUUCAGCCGAACGCUGCUGCUCUGAAAGACCUCCGAGCCAGUGUGUUGGAGACACACCAACAAGAAAGGCAACGCCAAUGGCAAAAACAGUGCCCAAACCAAACAACUGAAGUAAAAGAAGCCUUUAUGAAAAACUCAGGAAAUGUCACAUCAAACUAUUGGCAAAUGGGAAAAAACUUUGAAUGCUGAAACAGUGUGGUUGGAGAGAGCUUUCUGUGCGCAGGUGCGUGCUCAGCAUUGGCAAAUAUUGUUGCAUACCUCCUUGUUUUGCUGUUAUUUCUCUGGCUGUCUGCAAACAGAUGCCUAUAGUAAGAGCCAACCAGCUUCAGAAAGGGUUUUGUCUUCUGCCAGUGCUCUAUACAGCAGAGGCACCUGGGGAAGCCAGGAGCUAGUGGAGGAAGGAGAGGGCAGCAAUCUGCCUCCCCUUACUUCUUCCAGGCUCCCUGGUCCUCUUCAUCGCACCUGCCCCGUGGAUUGUAUGCUCACCACGGGAUGUCAUGUGGUCGGGGGGAAAGAGGAGAUGUAGGGAAGGGGCUCUGUGGGACGCUCCUGUCCCACCUCUGCAUUUCCAUGACAAGCCGGGAGUUAGCAUCACGUCUCCUGGCAGGGGACUUCUUUCUGCCUUUCUCAGUUGCAUUCAGGCUUCCUCGCGCUCUGCAUUUUUGUCCUCUGAAAGUGGUUGCAGGGUUUUGCAAGACAUGAUGGAGGUAUCGCUUUUAGCCAGCUUUUUCACAUGCAGGCAGUCUGUGCAUACACCUGUCUCUGCAUCCUCUCCCAAUCGGCUUUUAUCCAGCGUCAGCCAGAUCUGAUAGACAUCCCUCUGAGGAUGAUAAAUCGAAGGGUGGGUACAGCGAUGCCACGUGGGAAGGCCUAAGGCUGCCGCGAGCGGCCACGUUGUGCUGCUCCAGAGCAGCCGGUUGCGUUACCCGGUUGCAGCAGCUAUGGCUGGAGGCUUCAGAAGGGCGGAUCAGCUCUGAACGCUCCUGCCAAUUAUUUCUCUAACCUGUUCCCAAAGCCCUUUGGCCACAGAGACCUCAGCACCCGCAGGCAGCCUCUGAGUGCUUUGCUAUCCUCGUCCUCCGAAAGCUUUUCUCACUUGAAGCGCCCUGCCAGCGUGUGACUCCUUGUCCUGCCCACCACGGACGUCGGGCCAGUUUAUUCUCAUUGUCUUUGCACUAGCCCUCGACACGUUUGGAGACCGUUAACGUGCUUCCCUUCGUUCUUCUCUUCUCGAGAGCGUUGCUCUCCCGCCGAGGCCGGCCCCCGGCCCCCGGCCGAGUCUGGGCCGCCUGAAAGGUCUGGCUUGUUUCCCUACCAGCUUCUGCGCAGUAAAACCAAACAGACCUUCUCCUAACUGCGUUGCUUCCUGCCUUGAGCGCCGAAGGGAAACGUCCCUCGCAAGCAGAGAAAACACACAGGUCGCUUGAGACUUACAAUAAAGGCGUUAUCAAACUCGCUGUGGAGCGGUCGCUCCCACGGAGACUCUGACGGACCGCCUGGCUACCUAGCUCUGCAAAACCUGAGGACGAGUGUGCUCGCGGGAAAGCGUGGCUCUUUCCCAGCUGUAUCAGUCGCCUACUGCAGCAUGUUCCCUCUGCCCACAGCCUCCCCUGGCUGUCACCCUUGGACAGUCACAGCCACGACAACACCUCGGGGUUGUGCUCCACGGAAAGGUGUUUGUGUGAUCAAAGUGAGGGAUGGCUUUCUGCUCGGCAAACUGCAUCGCCCAGUCUUGGCGUCUCACCUGCGGCUCCCCGUUUUUUCUGGGGAUGGACACGGUGACCUAAUAACUCCUGUGCACCUCGGGGACCUUUGCAGCAGCCCGGGGUGUAGAGUCGGGUUAAUCCAGGGCAAUGAAUUGCCUGGAAAAACCAAUUCAGAGCAGUUCCUGGCUUCUCUACAUCAACACUGGCUAUUUUUUUUCACUUUGUAAAUAAAAUUUACUUUUAACAAAAAUC